rnacentral:rRNA from 1 species
UACGUAGGGUGCGAGCGUUAAUCGGAAUUACUGGGCGUAAAGCGCGCGCAGGCGGUUAGUUAAGUCUGAUGUGAAAGCCCCGGGCUCAACCUGGGAAUGGCAUUGGAAACUGGCUUGCUGGAGUGUGGCAGAGGGGGGUGGAAUUCCGCGUGUAGCAGUGAAAUGCGUAGAGAUGCGGAGGAACACCGAUGGCGAAGGCAGCCCCCUGGGCCAACACUGACGCUCAGGCACGAAAGCGUGGGGAGCAAACAGG